UGGGGAAUUUUGGACAAUGGGCGAAAGCCUGAUCCAGCAAUGCCGCGUGUGUGAAGAAGGCCUUCGGGUUGUAAAGCACUUUUGUCCGGAAAGAAAUCCUUGGCUCUAAUACAGUCGGGGGAUGACGGUACCGGAAGAAUAAGCACCGGCUAACUACGUGCCAGCAGCCGCGGUAAUACGUAGGGUGCAAGCGUUAAUCGGAAUUACUGGGCGUAAAGCGUGCGCAGGCGGUUUGCUAAGACCGAUGUGAAAUCCCCGGGCUCAACCUGGGAACUGCAUUGGUGACUGGCAGGCUAGAGCAUGGCAGAGGGGGGUAGAAUUCCACGUGUAGCAGUGAAAUGCGUAGAGAUGUGGAGGAAUACCGAUGGCGAAGGCAGCCCCCUGGGCCAAUACUGACGCUCAUGCACGAAAGCGUGGGGAGCAAACAGGAUUAGAUACCCUGGUAGUCCACGCCCUAAACGAUGUCAACUAGUUGUUGGGGAUUCAUUUCCUUAGUAACGUAGCUAACGCGUGAAGUUGACCGCCUGGGGAGUACGGUCGCAAGAUUAAAAACUCAAAUGAAUUGACGGGGUCAUAGCUGUUUCCUG
rnacentral:rRNA from 1 species